AAACGCGGAGCAUCAAUAGGCAGGUUUCGGUUGCAGCACACACACACACACACACGGAGGGAAGGAGGGAGGGAGGUUUUUACAGCGCUGACUCCGCAGCCGGGAUUUCGGCAGUCCAACUCCCCGGCACCUUGCGGGAAGAGGAACCACGGGGGUCUCCCCCUUCCCAACACGGUGUUCCCCGACGGGGGUGGCCCCUCUGUCCCCCCCUGUCCAUCGGUCAGUCUAUAUUUUUUUGGGGGGGGUCCGAUCCUCCCUGGGAAAAGGGCUCUGCCUCCAGCCCCGUCCAGCUGCAACCUCAUCGGGAGCAGGAAAAGUUUGCGAAUGCCUCCAGCCCGGGGGAGGCACUGGGGCACCGAGGGAGGGGAAUAACCCCCCCGGGAGGGUCGGGGUGUCCGGUGGGGGGGGGUGAUUAGGGACAGGUUGCAGCGCUGAAGCCGCUUCCUCAGGGGAGAAAAGUUGAGCUUUGUGCCUGGGGAAAAAGCCACCGGGGACCAAAAUAUCUGGGUUUUGGGGAGGGGGGGGGCACGCGGACAACGCUUCCACCACCCCCCCUCGAUGGGGAUGUGAAGGGUGGGGGACACGGGGGCACCCCGCUGCCACCCCCCCCGAGCAUCCUCCUGAGCAGGGAGCAGCGGAGGGGCCGUGCCCGAGCCCCCCCGGCUCUGCGGGUCCCUGCCCGACAGCCCCGACCCCCUCCCCACGACCCGGGGGGGUGGAAAAAGCACCGGGGGGGGGGGGACUCCUCCUGGGAUCCUUGCCCAGGUGUGCAGGGCAGGUACCGCUGCAGCCCCGCCGGCCCUCCCGGGGCAUCCUCCGGGGCAUCCUCCCUCCGCUCCCCGCUUCCCGAGCAGGGCGAGGAGUCAUUUGUUUUCAUUCAGAGAAAUGAAUGCUAUGUGAAGCCUGAAGAGUAAUAACACAGCAAAAUGACAACGGAAGAGCGAGACGGAAAUCUGAAAGAUACAAUGGCAGGUUAGUAACCUCUAAAGAUCACUGCUGUUGUGAGCAGUACAGUAUUAUUUAAUGUCCAGUCUGGCUUGCAGCUCCAUUUAAUAAAACAUAUGAAAAUCUCGGGAAAAUUUGGUCU
rnacentral:lncRNA from 1 species